rnacentral:rRNA from 1 species
UACGUAGGGGGCAAGCGUUAUCCGGAUUUACUGGGUGUAAAGGGUGCGUAGGUGGCAGGGCAAGUCAGAUGUGAAAGCCCGGGGCCCAACCCCGGUACUGCAUUUGAAACUGUCCGGCUGGAGUGCAGGAGAGGUAAGCGGAAUUCCUAGUGUAGCGGUGAAAUGCGUAGAUAUUAGGAGGAACACCAGUGGCGAAGGCGGCUUACUGGACUGUAACUGACACUGAGGCACGAAAGCGUGGGGAGCAA